CGGAAAUCCCGCCUCUGUUUUGUGACUGGCAGUUUUAUGCUAGGUCAGAGCUGGAGUAAAUUGUUCAGGAUCAACAAAGUUUUGACGGGGAUAUCAUCAGCUCAAAGGAUGGACAAGCAGUCGUUUUUUUAUUGUGCAUGGAUCUAUGGUCUCCAACAUUGUUGAGCUCACACACAUGAUAGCUGCAUGCUUGGUGCUGGAAGGCUGUAAAGUGUGCCAGGAUGCCGGAGAUAGUACAGAAUCAAACAAAUAACCCAAAACCGUCACGGUACUGAUCAGUUCCUGCUUAAAGUGUAUAUUGAAUGUCAUGGCAGUUCUGAUUGAACCCAGUGAAUUAUUCCUUUAUAAACUUUACAGUUUUUUUUUUUUUUUAUGGCUGAC
rnacentral:lncRNA from 1 species